rnacentral:rRNA from 1 species
GCAGGUGGCAAGCGUUGUCCGGAAUUAUUGGGCGUAAAGCGCGCGCAGGCGGUUCUUUAAGUCUGAUGUGAAAGCCCACGGGCUUAACCGUGGAGGGUCAUUGGAAACUGGAGAACUUGAGUACAGAAGAGGAAAGCGGAAUUCCACGUGUAGCGGUGAAAUGCGUAGAGAUGUGGAGGAACACCAGUGGCGAAGGCGGCUUUCUGGUCUGUAACUGACGCUGAGGCGCGAAAGCGUGGGGAGCAAACAGGAUUAGAUACCCUGGUAGUCCACGCCGUAAACGAUGAGUGCUAAGUGUUAGGGGGUUUCCGCCCCUUAGUGCUGCAGCUAACGCAUUAAGCACUCCGCCUGGGGAGUACGGCCGCAAAGGCUG